rnacentral:rRNA from 1 species
CGGUGAAUACGUUCCCGGACCUUGCACACACCGCCCGUCAAGCCAUGGAAGCUGGGUGUACCUAAAGUCGGUAACCGUAAGGAGCCGCCUAGGGUAAAACUAGUGACGUGGGGCU